GACAGAGGCCCCAAGCGUUAGGCGGAAUCACUGGGCUUAAAGCGUGUGUAGGCGGAUCGUUAAGUGUCUUGUGAAAUCCCACGGCUCACCCGUGGAACUGCUGGGCAUACUGGCGAUCUUGGGCCAACUAGGGGCAGCCGGAACAAGCGGUGGAGCGGUGAAAUGCGUAGAUAUCGGGAGGAACACCUGUGGCGGAAGCGGCGCACUGGACCACAACUGACGCUGAGGCGCGAAAGCUAGGGGAGCAAACAGG
rnacentral:rRNA from 1 species